GGCGGAUUGUAUAGGAACGUCUAAUUCCAAUUUCUCCAAUGUCUUCAAGUCUGACAUUGUUUUAUCCGAGAUCACUUUUGUCCGUUUACUUUUAGUUGUACUUUUAAUGCAAAGAUGUUUUAGAGAGAUUAACGGGAUAAAAGCACCGUUUGGAAACAUUGUAUACGCUAUUGGGUUGUCAUUUAAGUUUAAUACUUUGAGUUUCCCUAAUCCC
rnacentral:lncRNA from 1 species